UGGGGAAUAUUGCACAAUGGGGGAAACCCUGAUGCAGCGACGCCGCGUGGAGGAAGAAGGUCUUCGGAUUGUAAACUCCUGUUGUUGAGGAAGAUGAUGACGGUACUCAACAAGGAAGUGACGGCUAACUACGUGCCAGCAGCCGCGGUAAAACGUAGGUCACAAGCGUUGUCCGGAAUUACUGGGUGUAAAGGGAGCGCAGGCGGGAAGACAAGUUGGAAGUGAAAUCUAUGGGCUCAACCCAUAAACUGCUUUCAAAACUGUUUUUCUUGAGUAGUGCAGAGGUAGGCGGAAUUCCCGGUGUAGCGGUGGAAUGCGUAGAUAUCGGGAGGAACACCAGUGGCGAAGGCGGCCUACUGGGCACCAACUGACGCUGAGGCUCGAAAGUGUGGGUAGCAAACAGGAUUAGAUACCCUGGUAGUCCACACCGUAAACGAUGAUUACUAGGUGUUGGAGGAUUGACCCCUUCAGUGCCGCAGUUAACACAAUAAGUAAUCCACCUGGGGAGUACGACCGCAAGGUUGAAACUCAAAGGAAUUGACGGGGGCCCGCACAAGCAGUGGAGUAUGUGGUUUAAUUCGACGCAACGCGAAGAACCUUACCAAGUCUUGACAUCCUGCGACGAUGCUGGAAACAGUAUUUUCCUUCGGGACGCAGAGACAGGUGGUGCAUGGUUGUCGUCAGCUCGUGUCGUGAGAUGUUGGGUUAAGUCCCGCAACGAGCGCAACCCUUACUGUCAGUUACUACGCAAGAGGACUCUGGCAGGACUGCCGUUGACAAAACGGAGGAAGGUGGGGAUGACGUCAAAUCAUCAUGCCCUUUAUGACUUGGGCUACACACGUACUACAAUGGCGUUAAACAAAGAGAAGCAAGACCGCGAGGUGGAGCAAAACUCAGAAACAACGUCCCAGUUCGGACUGCAGGCUGCAACUCGCCUGCACGAAGUCGGAAUUGCUAGUAAUCGUGGAUCAGCAUGCCACGGUGAAUACGUUCCC
rnacentral:rRNA from 1 species